GGCUGGGCACUGCCCACUUCCUUGUCCCCAUAAGGAAGGAUUUUACCAGCAUGUUACAGGCUGCAAUCCACACGGUGGAUGAAGAGAUGGAUUAUUUACAGAAGAUAUACCAGUUUAUGACCUUGGAAUUUUUGCAAAGGAGCAAAAGUGAAACACAAGACAACCAGCACUGCAGCUGAUUCCAUAGCAGUGGUUGAUUUCCAUCCUUCACUAUGCCAAAGACUCAGAGAGAUGAUGCUACAGGUCCAAACAACUCUCCUCAACAGACAACCAGCACUGCAGCUGAUUCCAUAGCAGUGGUUGAUUUCCAUCCUUCACUAUGCCAAAGACUCAGAGAGAUGAUGCUACAGGUCCAAACAACUCUCCUCAACAGACAACCAGCACUGCAGCUGAUUCCAUAGCAGUGGUUGAUUUCCAUCCUUCACUAUGCCAAAGACUCAGAGAGAUGAUGCUACAGGUCCAAACAACUCUCCUCAACAGGUUAGGCCACCCAGAUGAAGAAAACAUCCUGGCAGCAAACAGAUGUGCAGAUGAUGGAAAGGCGCAUGAAUCGAUUCAUCACAUCUUGUACCAGCGUCAACUGACUGUGAGAAGUAUUUAUGGGCUGAACUGGGAGCAGCAGAAACUGAAAUUCUUCAUUUAUAACCACAUUACGGCCUACAGGCAUGUAAAAGUUGCCUUCCAUUUUUAUUUUUUUUAAUAUGUAUUAUCCUAUUUCUGCUGUGUUGUGCAGUUGACUACAUGCACAGCAAACAGCACUAUGCUUUGUAUCAGUAGCACCAUUUUCUGGCCUCAUACUAUGUCUUUACAUAAACUAUGAGGAAGUAAGCUGAGCUAAAUUUCAAAAUUUGAUAUUGAUUUACUACACCUGUAUUUUUUCUACAAAUUUGCAGAUUAAACUUUUCUUUCAACAAA